CCUACGGGUGGCAGCAGUGGGGAAUAUUGCACAAUGGGGGAAACCCUGAUGCAGCGACGCCGCGUGAGUGAAGAAGUAAUUCGGUAUGUAAAGCUCUAUCAGCAGGGAAGAAAAUGACGGUACCUGAGUAAGAAGCCCCGGCUAACUACGUGCCAGCAGCCGCGGUAAUACGUAGGGGGCAAGCGUUAUCCGGAUUUACUGGGUGUAAAGGGAGCGUAGACGGCAGUGCAAGGCUGGAGUGAAAGGCGGGGGCUCAACCCCCGGACUGCUCUGGAAACUGGACGGCUGGAGUGCAGGAGAGGUAAGUGGAAUUCCUGGUGUAGCGGGGAAAUGCGUAGAUAUUAGGAGGAACACCAGUGGCGAAGGCGGCUUACUGGACUGUAACUGACGUUGAGGCUCGAAAGCGUGGGGAGCAAACAGGAUUAGAUACCCUAGUAGUC
rnacentral:rRNA from 1 species